AUUGAACGCUGGCGGCAGGCCUAACACAUGCAAGUCGAGCGAGCGGCGGACGGGUGAGUAAUGUAUGGGGACUGCCCGAUAGAGUGGGAUAACUACUGGCACCGGUAGCUAAUACCGCAUACUAUCGGAUAACCCAUAUGGGAUUAGCUAGUCGGUGAGGUGAUGGCUCACGUAUGCGACGCGCCCGAGCUGGUCUGAGAGGAUGAUCAGCAACACUGGGACUGAGACACGGCCCAGACUCCUACGGAGGCAGCAGUGGGGAAUAGUGCACAAUGGGCGCAAGCCUGAUGCAGCAAGGCCGCGGGUAUGAAGAAGGCUCUAGGUUUGUAAAGUACUUUCAGGCGGGAGGCGUUACCGACAGAAGAAGCACCGGCUAACUCCGUGCCAGCAGCCGCGGUAAUAC
rnacentral:rRNA from 1 species